UACGAAGGGGGCUAGCGUUGCUCGGAAUUACUGGGCGUAAAGCGCACGUAGGCGGAUUGUUAAGUCGGGGGUGAAAUCCUGGAGCUCAACUCCAGAACUGCCUUCGAUACUGGCGAUCUCGAGUUCGGGAGAGGUGAGUGGAACUGCGAGUGUAGAGGUGAAAUUCGUAGAUAUUCGCAAGAACACCAAGUGGCGAAGGCGGCUCACUGGCCCGAUACUGACGCUGAGGCACGAAAGCGUGGGGAGCAAC
rnacentral:rRNA from 1 species